rnacentral:lncRNA from 1 species
GGUGGUUUAUGAUAUUUAGGUUUAUUCUAUCUUAACCAAUGGAAAGGAAAACUUGGAUGUUCUUUUCCUUUCAGUAAAAUUGUAUGUUUGGUUGUAGCUUGGAGCAAGAAGAGUUAUAGUAAACCAAGUUUAUAUUUGGUUCUUUGUCAUAUUAGUAAACUAGAAGGCUUUUGAGGAUGACGGUUCCAUUGGUGCCCCUUUCUUUAAAUGUGUUUUCGUGACUUCAUUACAUAUCUUCAUUCAUGGUCUUACAUAUGAUAUCACUUUACACUUCAAGAUCUAUUGUUCUGAAUCUUCUUCAAUAAUCUUUUUAUGUCACCAUUGUCACUAACGACAAAAUAGUCAUAGAGGGCACCGUAGGAUACGCGUGUGAGACUUAUGUUGUUGCAAUUCCUAGUUGAACCCACGCCUCUUAAGGUGCCCUCAAUUUCC